AGGGUUUGAUCAUGGCUCAGAACGUACGCUGGCGGCACGCCUAACACAUGCAAGUCGAACGAAGUAGCAAUACUUAGUGGCAGACGGGUGAGUAACAUGUGGGUAUCUGCCCUUUGGCCUGGAAUAACACGAGGAAACUUGUGCUAAUACCGGAUAAGUCUUUACGGAGAAAGCUUUAUGCACCAUUGGAUGAGCCCGCACUUGAUUAGUUUGUUGGUGGGGUAAUGGCCUACCAAGACUGUGAUCAAUAGCUGAUUUGAGAGGAUGAUCAGCCACAUUGGGACUGAGACACGGCCCAAACUCCUACGGGAGGCAGCAGUGGGGAAUCUUGCACAAUGGAGGAAACUCUGAUGCAGCGAUGCCGCGUGAGUGAAGAAGGCCCUUGGGUUGUAAAGCUCUUUCGUCGGGGAAGAAAAUGACUGUACCCGAAUAAGAAGGUCCGGCUAACUUCGUGCCAGCAGCCGCGGUAAUACGAAGGGACCUAGCGUAGUUCGGAAUUACUGGGCUUAAAGAGUUCGUAGGUGGUUGAAAAAGUUAGUGGUGAAAUCCCAGAGCUUAACUCUGGAACUGCCAUUAAAACUUUUUAGCUAGAGUAUGAUAGAGGAAAGCAGAAUUUCUAGUGUAGAGGUGAAAUUCGUAGAUAUUAGAAAGAAUACCAAUUGCGAAGGCAGCUUUCUGGAUCAUUACUGACACUGAGGAACGAAAGCAUGGGUAGCGAAGAGGAUUAGAUACCCUCGUAGUCCAUGCCGUAAACGAUGUGUGUUAGACGUUGGAAAUUUAUUUUCAGUGUCGCAGCGAAAGCGAUAAACACACCGCCUGGGGAGUACGACCGCAAGGUUAAAACUCAAAUGAAUUGACGGGGACCCGCACAAGUAGUGGAGCAUGUGGUUUAAUUCGAAGAUACGCGCAGAACCUUACCAACACUUGACAUGUUCGUCGCGACUCUAAGAGAUUAGAGUUUUCGGUUCGGCCGGACGAAACACAGGUGCUGCAUGGCUGUCGUCAGCUCGUGUCGUGAGAUGUUGGGUUAAGUCCCGCAACGAGCGCAACCCUCACUUUUAGUUGCCAUCAUUAAGUUGGGCACUCUGAAAGAACUGCCAGUGAUAAGCUGGAGGAAGGUGGGGAUGACGUCAAGUCCUCAUGGCCCUUACGUGUUGGGCUACACACGUGCUACAAUGGUAUCUACAACAGGAAGCAAGACUGCGAGGUCAAGCAAAUCCUUAAAAGAUACCUCAGUUCGGAUUGCACUCUGCAACUCGAGUGCAUGAAGCUGGAAUUACUAGUAAUCGUGGAUCAGCGUGCCACGGUGAAUGCGUUCCCGGGCCUUGUACACACCGCCCGUCACACCAUGGGAGUGGGUUUUACCAGAAGUAGUUAGUCUAACCGUAAGGGAGACGAUUACCACGGUAGGAUUCAUGACUGGGGUGAAGUCGUAACAAGGUAGCCGUA
rnacentral:rRNA from 1 species